ensembl:lncRNA
AUGGCCUCUCAAGAAGAAGGUGACCUGCAAACCGACGGCUGCGCGGUGUUCGAGCCGCGGCUCGAGCGGACCACAGACUGUCUGCGCCUUCGCGUAGAAGAAGAGGGAACCCCGUGUCCGUUGGAUCAUAGCGGAUUCCCAGACCCGGAAGGAGGCCUAGGCGGAGGUCUGGAGUGCGACUGUUCGCAUGGGAACGCUCUGGCCGCUGAGGGUGCCUUGAGGGACUUGUUGGACAAACACAUCCUGGCCAGCGACGGACGGUGUGCUCGCGUCAAGGCUCAUUACAGACACCGCCACCUGCCACCGGAUCAAUUGGCCUUGGACCUGGGCGAACUCAGGUUCGCCCACGGCAUGGUGGCGUUUCCGGACGCCCUCUUAUUUGCCAGCGGUGGCAAAUGUUACCUGCUAAACGUAAAGCGAUGCGUCAUCUGUGCCGGCGCGGGGAGACGACACCGCGACAGAUGCAAAGAAGUUUGCGAGAGAUUCACGGCGUACCUGACCGACACCCAGCUGGACGACGACUACGGGCGCAAGCCUCUGCUGUACACGAAAAGGUCGAGCGAGAGGAGCGUGGUCGGCCCUCGCACUGCGGACAACCUGUUCAGGGAGCUGGGCAGCCGUGAGGGCAUGUCGUAUGAGCUGGACACCGUAGACACUCACGUGUGUGAUGCGUGCGGCGUCAGGCUUUCCCGUUUCGUAGCGGGUGACAACAUGCUGAGAGAGCAUGUGUAUCACGUGCACGUUGCCGGAGUGGAGGAGUGCGACUUCCUGGCGAAAAAGUUCUCUGGCAGAGAAAGCGUCCGGAAAGCAAUGAUAGGCAAGGAGCGUUACAGAAGGGGCUACGUGGCGUUUCCCCGAGUUGAUGCUGAAGGAGGCCGUGGAAGGCCAUGUCGGCUUUGGCUACGAUAUGCCCUGCGUCGUGUGCGGCUCGCGGCGGAGCGAGAGCCACAACCAACGCUGCGGGAUACUGAUGCUGGCGCUGCUGCGAAAGUUGCUUCGCGUCAAGUUUUGAUGAGCCGAGAAUCCCGUUGA